CAGAACGAACGCUGGCGGCGUGGAUUAGGCAUGCAAGUCGAGCGGGAUCCAUCGAAGCUUGCUUUGAUAGUGAGAGCGGCGAACGGGUGAGGAAUACAUGGGUAAUCUGCCUUUUAGUCUGGAAUAGCUUCGGGAAACUGGAGGUAAUGCCGGAUGCGGUCGAUUAUCAUAAGAUAAUCUGUUUAAAGCGGGGGAUCUUCGGACCUCGUGCUAAGAGAUGGGCCCGUGUCCUAUCAGCUAGUUGGUGAGGUAAUGGCUCACCAAGGCGAUGACGGGUAGCUGGUCUGAGAGGAUGGUCAGCCACACUGGGACUGAGACACUGCCCAGACUCCUACGGGAGGCUGCAGUCGAGAAUCAUUCACAAUGCACGAAAGUGUGAUGAUGCGACGCCGCGUGAAGGAUGAAGGCCCUAGGGUCGUAAACUUCUGUCGGAAGGGAAGAAUUGCUCCAGGGUUAAUACCCCUGUUGUUUGACGGUACCUUCAGAGGAAGCCACGGCUAACUUCGUGCCAGCAGCCGCGGUAAUACGAAGGUGGCGAGCGUUGUUCGGAUUUACUGGGCGUAAAGGGAGCGUAGGCGGCAUUGUAUGUCGGAUGUGAAAGCCCACGGCUUAACCGUGGAAAUGCAUUCGAAACUGCAGUGCUAGAGUAUCGGAGAGGUAAGUGGAAUUCUUGGUGUAGCGGUGAAAUGCGUAGAUAUCAAGAGGAACACCAGCGGCGAAGGCGGCUUACUGGACGAAUACUGACGCUGAGGCUCGAAAGCCGGGGGAGCGAAGAGGAUUAGAUACCCUCGUAGUCCCGGCCGUAAACGUUGUACACUUGGUGUGGGAGGAUUUAUCCCCUUCCGUGCCGUAGCUAACGUGUUAAGUGUACCGCCUGGGGAGUACGGUCGCAAGAUUAAAACUCAAAGGAAUUGACGGGGGCCCGCACAAGCGGUGGAGCAUGUGGCUUAAUUCGAUGCAACGCGAAGAACCUUACCUGGGCUUGACAUGCCUGUCGUACCUCUGUGAAAGCUCGGGGUCAUUUAGUUGGACGGUGCACAGGUGCUGCAUGGCUGUCGUCAGCUCGUGCCGUGAGGUGUUGGGUUAAGUCCCGCAACGAGCGCAACCCUUGUCUCUAGUUGCCAUCUGGGAGCGAUCCGCAGGGAACUCUAGAGAGACUGCCUAUGUAAGUAGGAGGAAGGUGGGGAUGACGUCAAGUCAGUAUGGCCCUUAUGUCCAGGGCUGCACACGUGCUACAAUGGACGGUAUAAUAGGCAGCAAUACCGCGAGGUGGAGCAAAUCCUCAAAACCGUCCUCAGUUCGGAUUGGAGUCUGCAACUCGACUCCAUGAAGCUGGAAUCGCUAGUAAAGGGGCAUCAGCUACGGCCCCUUGAAUACGUUCCCGGGCCUUGUACACACCGCCCGUCACGUCAUGAAAGCUGUCUGCUCCCGAAGUCACCGUAUCAAC
rnacentral:rRNA from 1 species